UUCUAAACCGGAUUGAAGGGGAGAUCCUUUUUUGGGCCGGGGGAUGGGGGGUAGGGCAAAAAAGAUCGGAUCGGAAAGCCGGAGGAAAC
rnacentral:sRNA from 1 species